rnacentral:rRNA from 1 species
GAUGAACGCUGGCGGCGUGCUUAACACAUGCAAGUCGAACGAAUCAAGAGGAGCUUGCUCCUCUUGAUUAGUGGCGGACGGGUGAGUAACGCGUGGGUAACCUGCCCUAUGCAGGGGGAUAACGUUUGGAAACGAACGCUAAUACCGCAUAAUAAAGAAAACCGCAUGGCUUUUCUUUCAAAGAUUUAUCGGCAUAGGAUGGACCCGCGUUGGAUUAGCUAGUUGGUGAGAUAACAGCCCACCAAGGCGACGAUCCAUAGCCGGCCUGAGAGGGUGAACGGCCACAUUGGGACUGAGACACGGCCCAAACUCCUACGGGAGGCUG